rnacentral:rRNA from 1 species
UGUCACUCUACACGAAAGCUAGGGAGCACACGGGAUAGAAACCCCGUAGUCUUAGAUGUAUACGAUAUGUACUUGUGUUGUGGGGUGAAACCUCCCGGUGCCGCAGCAACACGCGAUAAGUGCUCCGCCUGGGACUACGGGCGCAAGAUUAUAACUCUCAGAAAUAGUCGCGGGCCCGCACACGCAGAGCAGAGUGUGUUUCUAUAUGAUGCUACACGAAGAGCCUCUCAUGUGUUUGUCAUAUAGGUGGUAGAGAGCGGAGACGGGAUCUACCCCUUGGGGAGCCUAUACACAUGCUGCAUAUCUGUGGUCACCUCGUGUCGUGAGAUAUCCGGUUAAGUCUGGUAACGAGAGCACCCCCCGCUGUAUAUUUCAUGUGUCUUACGGGGCUCCCGGUAUCAAACCGGAGGAAGGUGGGGAGGAGGUCAAGUCUGCACGGCCUUUAUAUCCAGGGCUACACACACGCUACAAUGGGCGGGGCACAGGGGGGGAAGACCCCGAGGGGGAGACAAUCUUCUAAAUAGGCCUCAGUUUAGAUUGCAGGGUGCACCCCCCCCGCACGAAGUGUGAGUUUCUAGUAUCCGCGCGUCACAAAUAGUGCGGUGAAUAUGUUUCCGGGCCCUGUACGCACCCCCCCUCUCGUCACGGGAGAUGGCACCACCCGAAGUCGGUAUCUCAACCCCAAGGAAGGAGCCCCCCAAGGGGGGGGUGGGGAGUGGGACGAAGUGGUAACAAGGUAGGUGUACCCGAAGAUGCGGG